ACUUUAUUCCCAUUUUAUUCACCAACAAACAAUGGUCCAAUUUAGUUAUUAUAAAACUAAUUCGAUCUAUAUGAUGGGUGAUGUUCAUUUUAUACUUCCCGUUACAGCACCUGAGGUUCCUAGUAGGUCUCCCAUACAAGUGCUAACCAGGCCCGAGUCUGGAUGGCUUCUAAGAUCUGACAAGAUCAGGCAUUUUCAGACUGAUAUUGCCAUAGAUUUUUAUUUCUUAUUUUAAUGUUGUUUAUCAAUA